UUUGUGUAUUAAUAUCUCCUUUGAAAAUUAAUGUAGUUUUGUAUGUACACGCCGAAUUAUUUAGAAGUACUUCCAACUUUAAAAAUCGAUUUUCAAGAGAUGGCACCAAUCAAGAAUUACUGCAUAUAACAGAUAAAAUAACCCUAUGCUCGGUUACCAAGUCGCCAUUACUGUAUGAACGAGAGAGAAGAUGGGUGUAAUUGGACAGUUCCUACUCGACAACGCUACUGUAUUAUAGGAUAGGAUGCUGUUCCAGGCAUUUAUUCUCCAAAGAUAUAGCGGAUCAGUUUAAUCAAAGUAUAGCACCUUACUAAUUUAAAAAUGAAAGUGUUUUGGUUUAUAUUGUGUUUAUUAUUGACAUUUUUUGAUUACGCGAUUGGUGCAAAAAUCCUUGCCGUUUUUCAUGCACCGAGUUUUAGUCAUUACAUUUUAGGUGUAAAGUUACUCAGAGCUGUUGCAGAAAAGGGACAUCAUGUCACCAUGAUUAGUCCGUUUCCACUAAAAAACCCGCCAAAAACAUGGAGAGAUAUCGUACUUGAAGAUCUUACAAAAGGAUUUAGUUUUGGUAUGUAAAAAAAGGUUCUUAUAAAUGACAUUCUUCAGAAGUAUUAACACAUAAGAAUAAUUAUAAAAGUAAUGUAUCACAUCAAAUGAUUUUGGUAUCGUUCAAAAUAUUUUUGUUUCAUUUUUACCGUGGUUGACGCCUAUUUUAUAAUAAUUCUAUAAAAUUGACGACAGAAAUCAUACGAUACAGUUAGGAGAGUUAUCUAUAUAAAUCCGUUCAAAUCGGGGAACUGGAAGUCCAAAUCUUAAAUAUAUACCUUCUUCAUCAUUAAUGUUUUUUGACAAAAGAAGUUGCACCGCCAAAUCAUACCUGUAUUAGGCCCAGGAACACACAUUUAAUUUUUUGCGUAAAGUUCUGUUCCUAGAUGAUCAGCAUUGUUCAGGUGAUGUGUAUAAUCGUAUUUUUGAAGGUGCUGGACGAAUAAUAAUUGAUUCAAAAGUAUAAGAAAUGAUAUAACUGCUUCAUUCGCCCCUAUAUCACUCUAAAUUACAGCAUUGAUGGCAAAAGUUUGAUCUUGUGAAGUGCAAGUCUUCUUAGUAGGACGUUUGUUUAGCGGAUGUAUAAUAUGUUUGGCAUUUUUUGUAAAACUACUAGGUCCAUCUCUCUAUUGUCUACCCUAUUACAUUCAAGGUUAUUAUUACACCCGAAUUCGUACGUGUCGUAUGGGAAUUAAUGUGAUUUUUGGUAAUAACAU